UUUUUGAAGCAAAGACUGGGGUUUUAUUAAUAAAUAAACUGAAAACAGACAGCCCAAAAAGUGGCCCAAACAAAGAAACCAGAAAACAACAAUAAAAACUUCUAAAAAACUAUCAAGACUUCUGUCUUACAAAAGAAACAUAAAAUCAAUAAAAGAAAAUAAAGCAAAUUAAAAAACCUAACCCAGUCAAAUCAAUGAGCAGCUGGCAACCAAUAACGUCUGACGAUUUGUUAUUUCCAAAGCUCCUAACGUUUAAUUAAUAGCAGUCCCCUAGGCAUUCAAUCUUCACUCUGCUGUCUAUUUCGGUCACAUUUCCUCUGAAGCAGUUCCUCAAUCUGGAUUUCUUGACCGAUAUCCUACCGAAGCCAGAUUCUGACUAUCUAGUUCCUCACCCCUCAGGUAAAUCGUCUCUCCUUUCUCGAAUGCGAUCUUUGCUAUUCUGUGAGCAUCUAAGUUUUCUGACCUGUUAAUAUACUGGAAAAUAAGAUCUUGAAAGUCAGAUUUCUUCUGUUGAAUAUCUCUGAUGAUGGCUCCAAUAACUGAUUUGUCUGUGGAAGUCUCUUGACAUUUCUUUAUUACAGUUUUUGAAUCCCCCAUAAGUUUCACUGAAUGGAUUCGUAAUGAAAUCCCUAACUUUACUCCUUCUAAACAUGCAUGAGCCUCUGCUGCGAAAGGAGAAGAAACAUUUCUGUGAAUAACUAUUUUUAACGCUAUUAAGACUCCCCUCGAGUCCCAACCUACAAGGCCGGACGCUGAACUGGAGGUAUUACUGUCGUACGCUGCAUCAAAAUGGAUCCUGGCUGUCGGUGUAAGCUCUUGUACUCUAUAGCUUCUGCAUGUGACCUCAUUAGUUUUUAAGACUUUUAAUCCUCUCUGUUCUAACUCAUAUCUUUGUAUGUUAAGUACUAAGGCCCUUCCUGGAAUGAUAUUUCUCUCAUGAAUAAGUUGAUUUCUAGAAAACCAUAUCCACCAUAGCGCAUAGCAAAAGGAAAAGCAUUGGUCAUUGUUUCCCCUCUUGAAAACCCAGGUUAACCACUCCCACAUAGUAUGGCUCCUAUUGUUCAUAACCCAUGCGAAAUUUAACAAAUGCCAAACUUCUGCUGUUAUAGGGCAAUCUCGAAAGAUGUGGAGGCUGUCUUCGACCUCAGAGCUGCACCGGGGACAUCUGUCGUUUGAAACCACUCUCCUUAUACUGAGAUUAACAAAGUUUGGAAUAAAGUCCCAAGAGAUCCGCCAGAUUGUAAACGCAAUUUUAGAUGGUAGCUGAAGGCUCCAUAGUUUUUUUAUAAAAAUCCUUUGUUUCGGUUUGUAAUAAAUAGUCACUAGGAUCCAUAUUUGCAUUUUGUAAUAGUUUAUAGGCACUACGAACAGAGAACUCACCAGAUAAUUCCCCUUUCCAAGCCUGAAAAUCAUCAUGCGCAAUCUCUGCAAGAGGAAUUUCAAGGAUUUUCCGAACUAUGUCCUCAGGAAAGGUAUUCUGAAUCAACUCCAAGUUCCAUUUUCUGUUUGAAUGAUCAAGAUGAUCCGCAACUAACUUAAUUUCCCUCCUGGUUGUUCUGUUGUUUACGUCGAUUUUGUCAACCCCCUGAAUCCAACAAUCGUCCCAAACAGAGAUGCUAUCUCCUCUGCCCACUCUCCAGCACAUCCCUUUUUGGAGUAGACCUUUAGCAGCCCAAAUGCUCUUCCAGGUAAAAGAAGGUAAAUUUCCCAGCUUCGCUGUUAAGAAACUAGAAUCCAGAUAAUACUUUGCUUUUAAAGUUCUGGCUAAAAGCGAAUUUGGAAAAUUAAUGAGACGCCAACCUUGUUUCGCUAAUAAUGCAAUAUUGAACUGACCGAAAUUGCGAAACCCAAUUCCACCAUUUUCUUUCAAAAAACAAAGAUUCUUCCAAGUGCACCAAUGGAUUCCUCUUUUUCAAUUCCCUUUCUGCCACCAGAAUUUGGCAACAAUAUGUUCCAGUUCAUCACAAAGUGUUCUAGGAAAUAAGAAGCAUGCCAUCGAAUAGGUAGGGGUAGCCUGUAAAAUGACUUUAAUAAAAACUUCUUUACCUCAUUGUGAAAGAAAUCUAAUACUCCAAUUAUCAAUGCAUUUUUUAAACCUAUCCUUCAGAUUUUGGAAAGCUUCCCUCUUUCUUCGACCCACCAUAUUUGGCAAUCCCAGAUAUCUCUCUGGUUCAUUCGACCUUCAAACCCCCAGCGAGUUAACAACUUGUCUUCUAUCCUCUUCGGAAGUAUUUUUGCUAAAGAAAACAGAUGAUUUUUUCAAAAUUUACACACUGUCCCGAUUGAGAUUUAUAUUCAUCCAAAAUGCCCUUGAAGAUACUUGCACCUCUGCUUGUUGCUUCACCAAACAAAACACAAUCAUCAGCGAAUAAAAGAGGAAAAAUUUGUGGCCCACUUCUACUAACCUUUACGCCAUUUAACGUGCCUCUUUUUACUGCCUGUCUCAAUAAGCUCGAUAAACCUUCGCCACAAAAGAGAAAUAAAAAUGGACUAAGUGGGUCGCCUUGUCUCAAUCCUCUAUUAGGUGAAAAUGUGUCCCCUUUAUGUCCAUUAAUAACAACUGAGUAGGAAAUGGUAGAGACACAAUUCAUAAUGGCCUUCACCCAUUCCGAAUCAAAUCCCAUCAUUAUCAUAAUUUCUUCAAUAAAACUCCACUCCACCCUAUCAUAAGCCUCAGUCAUAUCAAGUUUAACGGCCAUAAACCCUUUUUUCCCCAGCCUCUUCUGUUUUAACUUAUUCAUUACUUUGUAUUCUAGUAUCACAUUAUCAGAGAUUAAUCGACCAGGAACAAAAGCGCUCUGGGUUUCAUCAAUACAAUUCCCGAUCACCUUUCUAAGCCUGCUAGCUAUCACCUUAGCAAUAAUUUUGUAAUUAACAUUACAGAGACUAAUCGACCUGAAUUGCGUCAUUAUUAGAGGAUUAUUAACUUUGGGUAUGAGAACAAUGUUUGUGGAAUUUAUUGAACUAACCUCCAUGCCUCCAUUCAAAAUUCGAGAGCAGUAAGCAAUGACUUCUUCUCCCAUGAUCUGCCAACACUUCUGGUAAAAAACUGUUGGAAGACCAUCUUCCCCUGGUGCCUUCGUUGGCCCCAUAUCAAAAACCGCUGUCGUGAUUUCCUCCCUAGUAUAUAGAGCUAUAAGGAUCUGGUUGUCCUCCUCUUAAAUGCAUAUCUCAAUACCUGCUAAAAUCUGAUUAUUGUUCCUUCUUCGUUCAGUCGUGAACAGUUUCUGGAAGUAAAAUCUCGCAUUUUCUUUAAUUUCCUGUAAAAUCUUCAGCUCUCUUCCUUCUUCGUUCAUCAAUCUGUUAAUAGAAUUUUUCCUCUUCCUUUGUGUAGCUUGACUAUGAAAGAAUUUUGUGUUUUUGUCUCUAAAUGUCAACCAAUUAAUUCUAGCUCUUUGUUCCCAAUAGCAUUCGUCUUUUUCAAUCUCAAAAUUCAAGUUUAGUCUAGUGUCAAUUAGCUCAGCUAAAGUAUUUUCAUCCCGUUCGGCUCCUGCAAGUUCCUCAAGUUUUUUGUGAAGCUCCUGUUUAGAUUUCUUCCUACUCAUUUUCACCUCUCCUGCCCACUCUUUUAAUCCUGUUUUCAAAAUCUCCAAUCUCUGCAGCAAGUCACCUGUUGAACUCUCCCAUAUGCCUUUAACCACCUCAAUAAAAGAUUCCUCCAAUAACCACCAGGCUUCAAAUUUAAAAUUGUUAUUCCAUACCUUUACUCCUUUUUCUGUAGUAUCAAUGAGAAGAGGACAGUGAUCUGAAAACGAAUGGGAAAGAUGUUGAACCUUCACCUCUGGAAACAUCGUAACCCAACCCAUGUUGGCAACUCCUCUAUCAAGGCGUUCUCGUAUAUUUGUCUCAGGUAAAUUACCUCUUUCCCAAGUAAACCAACUACCCUCGAAGCCCACAUCGUUCAAUUGACAAUCAACAAGUGUUUUCCGAAAACACUCCAUUCUUCUCUAGUCUCUGGGAAUUCCUCAUUUCUUUUCGAAACCAUACAUGAUUUCAUUAAAGUCUCCACAAACUAACCAUGGAAUUUCCACUCCAGUGGUCAAUCUUUUCAAAGUAUCCCAUGAAACGUUCCUCUCCUGGACAUAUGUGGAACCAUAGAAUCCUGUGAAUCUCCAUUGUGGCCAAUCUUUUCAAAGUAUCCCAUGAAAUGUUCCUGUCCUGGACAUAUGGGGAACCAUAGAAUCCUGUGAAUCUCCAUUUCACACCUUGCUCAUUAUCUUCGACUAACACGUCAAUAUGCCUUUUAGAAAAACUACGAAGACUAACAUCAAUAUUUGCUCUCCAUGCCAAACAUAACCCUCCCCUUGUACCUUCAGAAUCAACUUCAAUGCCAUUAUGAAACCCACAUCUCAUGUGAACUACUUCAAUCUAUUUUCUGUUAAGUUUUGUCUCCAUGAAGAAGAUAAUUUGGGGAUUUUUUAACUUUAGUACAUAUCGAAGUCUUCGAACUGCGUCAAGCAUCGGACGUUCCAGCAUAAUAUUUUCAUUGCGACAGGUCGGCUCUUGGUAGCCGCCGAUGAUAAAAGUAUCUGUCCUUCCAUCUCACCUCUAUUUUGCUUCUUCCCCUCUUCCCCCAUUAAAACUUCAUCCUCUAGAUCAUGAUCCAUUAAUUUGUGAAUCUUAUAUGAUCAUGGUUUCUCCAAAACUGUUCCUUUCCCUUCUAAACUAAAACCCUGUAUUGGAUCACUGGUUUUCAUCUCACUACCUCUUGGAAUCCCAUUCCUUGAACCCAUCUCCCCUAAUCUGUUCUCCAUCCAACAGCCUUCCCUAACCCCCUUAUCCUCUUCACGCAGCCAAAUACUAUUCGUUGACAAGGCUCUAUGUGAUGGAGCCCACAGGGAUAAAUCCCAACUCAACUCUAUGGGAUCUGAUCCAACCAUCAUUUUUGUCUCAAUAAGAAUCAUUAUGACCCAACCGACCACAGAAAAAAUAAAACAGUGAUAAACGUUCAUACUUGAAUUUGACGUACGAACAAACACCAUUAGACGUAACCUGCUUCUUUCUCCUUAAUGGCUUCCUGACAUCAAUCUGCACCCUGACUCUCAUAAAAUUACUUUUUUCCUUGCCCAGAUUUGAUGCAUCAUACUCUAAAAAUACUCCAAUAAAAUUCCCCAGUAACGUUGCUAAACUUUUAGAGAAUCAACCCAUUGGAACAUCAUGGAUUUGUACCCAGAAUGGAACAUAUAUUAACGGUAUUUUUAACGGAUCUUCACCUCUGUUCAGAUUGCUCAGAAUUAAUAGAUGAUUGUUAAACGUCCAAGGAAGGCCCUUUAGAACUCUCUCCAAAUCCAUACUAUGGAAGAACUUAAAAAUGUACCUUUUUUCUCCCAAAUCACGAAUCUGUACCCCACAAAUGGGGUGCCAUAAAUUUGCUAGGGUACUUUUCAUAGCCGAAAAAUUUAUGAUACUUGCUGGUAAGAAACAUCCCACAAGCUGAUAAUCGCCCACGUCUGUAUGCGGUUGUAGAUCAUCCUGAAUCUGCAAGAUCUCUUAUUCUUCUUCAUUAAUUGAUAAUUGGGCUAAUUCAGUCUCCAUGGUUGCAGGAAUUAAAGGAACGCUUCCGCCAACCAAUUAAAGAGAGAUCAAUCGCGGAAAUCGUAGGGAAUAAAAUAAAAGAGAUCAAGACCCCUCAAAAUCCAAAAAAACAUAAACUUUAAACCUAAGAACCCAUGCCAGAGACGGCAGACAGAACCCGUGCCAGAGACGGCAGACUUUUUUUGAAAUAUUUAUUAUAUGCCCAGAGCAGAGAACCAGGAAGCUGAUAGACUUGCCAAGAUGGCUCACUCAGGAAGUCAAGGUUUGCGAAUGUUUAGAAGACCCCCAUUUGGAGAGUUAGGCCAAUUGGCAUAGUUUAUUUCUAGUAAUUUUCUAUUUUUCACCAAAAAAAAUAAUAUAUUGUAAUUAAAAUCUAAGAUCAAGACUUUAUGAAGACUCCUUAAAGGAAGAUUAGACCACUAAACAAUUGAAGAAGAGUCCUUCUUGUUUUCCAACUAUUUUCUCUACAAUUCCUCACAAUAUUUUGAACCUUUGUACUAAAAGUGUGGUAAAAGUAUCAUGAAAAUCAUGUAUUAGGAGUUAGAUUGCAUCUUAUCCCCUUUAUUUAAAAAAUUAGAUAAAUUAAUACUUACACAUUAGAUUAAAGAAUAAAUUAGUCUUUUCUGUUAAAAAUU
rnacentral:lncRNA from 1 species